UCAAGAGACAGUCUUGUAAUUUUAUUUAUUGUUUGUUUAUUUAAAAAUGUGGUAUUGGAGAUAUAUGAGAUGUAUGAGAUAUAUACUACUGACAAAGAUCCUGAGGAUACCACAGAAAGAAUAUAUGAGCCUCCAACACACUACAAAAUAUUUCAGAGGGUUAUAUUUUUUGGCCCAGAAAAUAAAUGUUUUAAAUAUGCUUUUACUGAAAUACAAAACCAGUGGAGAGAAGCAUACAAAUCAUCAGUGCAUGAAUCAAUGAAUGAUCCAUGAAGUCCAUAAGUCUUGCAAACACCUCCCAGACCAAGAAUUAUGGUGUUUACUCACCCCAGAAGCUUCGCUGAAUCCUCUUCCAAUCAUAAUCCCUGCCCUCCAUGCACUAGCAGUCCCAGACAUCCUAUAUCCAAUCUAAAAUUCACUUCCUAUAAAAGCUAGUCUUGCUUUGACUUGCCUUUACUCCUGGCAUGUAAACUUUAGGGUCCUUAGCCCAAAGUCACAAGAGAGCUUAGCUCCAGUUUUUAUCCUCUGGUCCUCAUGAGUCUGUUCAAAAGAUUUCAAUUUCUGAGCUGCUUGGCUGCCUCUUCCAAAAUGUGCAUGUACAGGUGACAUGGAUGCUGUCAGCUGGCAGCCCUGAUAAUCAUUGAUUCUUUCCUUGCCUUCAUUAUCUUCCAUUUCUCAGUAUUGGAAUCCAUAAUAUAAGUAGUCUCUUGUUUUUACCCUAAAUAACCUUGAUUUCUGUCAGGUUUCUAAAUUUUCUGGAUCCAGACAAAGAUAUAUUAAUUUGUUUUAUACUCAUUUGUUUUCUUCUUUAAUGAUAUUUAUUCAAUUGAAAAGUGUGUACUAUUAUUACCUGAUUUUUGGUUCUUGUGAUGGUGGUUUUCCGUUUGCAAAUAGUUGUUGAAAUUUGGUGUUCCUGCAGGGAGUACAAACUGUAUAAGCUUCUAUUUACCAUCUUGCUCUACCCCCUCCUUGACAUAUUUAAGAAGAUUGAAAUUAUGACAAGUAUCUUUUCUAACCACAAUUUAGUGAAACUGGAAAUCAAUACCAGAAGGAAAACUGGAAAACUGACAAAUAUAUUGAAACUGAACAAUACAUUCUUGAGCAACAAUUGGACCAAAAAAUAGAUCAAAUCAGAAAUGAAGUGUUACCUAGAGACAAAUUAAAACAAACAAAAAAACCCAAUAUACCAAAACUUAAAGGAUGCAGCAAAAGCAGUAGUCAGAGAAUUCAUGGUGAUAAACACCUACAAUAAAAAACAAAUCUCAAAUAAGCAACCUACAUUUAUACCUCAAGUAGCUAGAAAAAUGGGAACAAAGAACAAUGUCCAAAGCUAGCAGAAAGAAGAAAAACACAAAGAUCAGAGCAGAUAUAAAUAAAAUCAAAAACAGAAAAAUAAUAUACAGAAAAUAUCAAUGAAAUUAAGAGCUGGUGUUUUGAAAAGAUAAAGAAAAUUGGCAAACCCUUAGCUAGAGUAAGAAAAAAAGAGAGAAGACUCAAACAAAUAAAUUCAGAAAUGAGAGAAGAGAUAUUACAACUGACACCCCAGCAAUAAAAAAGAUCAUAAGGGACUACUAAGAACAAUCAUACAUCAACAAACUGGAUAACCUAGUAGAAAUAUGUAAAUUCCUAGAAACAUAUGACCUAACAAGACUAAAUCAUAAAAAAUAGAAAGUUUCAACAGACCAAUAACUAGUAUGAAAACUGAAUCAAUAAUUAAAACCUCUCAACAAAGAAAAACCCAGAACCAGGUACCUCAUGGGUUAACUCUACCAAGCAUAAUUGUAAAGAAACAUCAAUGUAUUUCUAUUUAAUUAAAUUGUUUUUAUCAUAAGUAGUUGUUGAAUUUUGUCAAAUACGUGUUCACCAUCUGUGGAGGUCAUUAUGAGAUUCAGGAUUAUAUGAUUUUUCACUGUACAUGUGUUGAUAUUAUUAUAUGUACAAUAAAGAGCUGGA
rnacentral:lncRNA from 1 species